GAUGAACGCUAACAGAAUGCUUAACACAUGCAAGUCAACUUGAACUUCGGUUUGGGUGGCGGACGGGUGAGUAACGCGUAAAGAACUUGCCUCACAGCUAGGGACAACAUUUGGAAACGAAUGCUAAUACCUGAUAUUAUGAUUAUAUGGCAUCGUAUAAUUAUGAAAGCUAUAUGCGCUGUGAGAGAGCUUUGCGUCCCAUUAGCUAGUUGGAGAGGUAACAGCUCACCAAGGCGAUGAUGGGUAGCCGGCCUGAGAGGGUGAUCGGCCACAAGGGGACGGAGACACGGCCCUUACUCCUACGGGAGGCAGCAGUGGGGAAUAUUGGACAAUGGACCGAGAGUCUGAUCCAGCAAUUCUGUGUGCACGAUGAAGUUUUUCGGAAUGUAAAGUGCUUUCAGUUGGGAAGAAAAAAAUGACGGUACCAACAGAAGAAGUGACGGCUAAAUACGUG
rnacentral:rRNA from 1 species